rnacentral:misc_RNA from 1 species
AACCGCAGCGAACGACUGUGGCGAGCGUGAAAGGUUGGCAGUAGUGGGAGCUAGUGGAAGUAGUUCGCCGAUAGGAUCGCGGCGUUGGAGCGGUGUCCUUUGGUUUCUCUAGAGACUCUCGGGGUCCUUGUUUGCCGGAGAAAGCCCAGGUUGAUGAGGUGAUGAGAGGAUUCACGAGGGGCCCAAACUUCGGACCGCCCAGGUGGUGACCGAAGUUAUAAAAGGGCUAUACAUUUGUUGAUAUGUUAGUCGUGACAAACGACAGCAGUGGCUGUAGAUGAUCUCGGAUGUAAUCCCAUAUCGCAAAUGAGAGAACUUUUAAGAAGGGACAUCUAAAUGCCCAAGGGUGUCAUUGAGUGACAUUAAGUGCUGCGGCCACCCAUUUCUUCUAAAAACAUGGCUACCAAUCAAGUGGAUUACCAGUGGGCUUACUCCAUAAUGGACUCAUCCAGGGUUUCCACCUUUCUCAUAUCGAUAUUGCUGAUCGUUUAUGGCAGUUUUCGAUCAUUAAAUAUGGAGCAAGAGGCAAGAGAAAGGGAGAAAGAAAAGGAACGUAAUAAUUUGUUAACGGGGCUAACGAGCAGUAGUGGCACUGGAAAUGUUGAUGGCGCUAAUGGAGGAUGCGUCCAGACUUUAGAUACAAUGCAUGCUCUCUGUCUACCUCUUGGUGCUUCCAUUUCAUUACUCAUCAUGUUUUUCUUUUUUGAUAGUAUGCAGACGCUCUUUGCAAUAUGCACAGCUAUUAUAGCUACAGUUGCCCUGGCAUUUCUUUUGUUACCCAUGUGUCAAUAUAUAAUAAGACCAUGUUCAGAUGGUAACAAAAUAUCAUUUGGAGUGUGUGGGCGAUUCACUGGGGCCGAAUUACUCUCAUUUUCAUUGAGUGUAAGCAUCGUAUGUAUUUGGGUGCUAACGGGUCAUUGGCUACUUAUGGAUGCAAUGGGCAUGGGCCUCUGCGUCGCAUUUAUAGCGUUUGUUCGAUUACCUAGUCUAAAGGUAUCCACCCUAUUACUCACUGGACUUUUGAUUUACGACGUCUUUUGGGUCUUCUUUUCAUCGUACAUAUUCAGCACAAACGUAAUGGUUAAGGUGGCUACGCGGCCUGCGGACAAUCCAGUGGGUCUCGUAGCACGUAGAUUACACCUGGGUGGUGUAGCUCGUGAAGUUCCGAAGCUCUCUCUACCUGGGAAGCUGGUAUUCCCGUCGAUGCAUCAGUCGGGACACUUUUCGAUGUUAGGCCUCGGCGACGUUGUAAUGCCGGGCCUCUUACUGUGCUUCGUACUUCGUUACGACGCCUAUAAGAAGAGCCAGAUUUUGCCAGGUGGCUGCGAGACAGGGGUACCACCUCCGCGACACCUCAGUCGUAUCAGUUACUUCCACUGUUCUCUGAUCGGUUACUUUCUCGGUCUGCUCACUGCCACGGUUAGUUCCGAGGUGUUCAAAGCCGCGCAGCCUGCCUUACUGUACCUCGUGCCCUUUACAUUGUUGCCCCUACUUACCAUGGCGUAUCUCAAGGGCGACCUGCGACGCAUGUGGAGUGAACCGUUCAUAUCCCAACAGCCGUCUAAGCACAUGGAAGUUUGACAACUGUCCGGACUCGCUCUAGAUUCUGUUUUCUGCUGGGUGAGGAACCAUAACGCGCAUCUCGCCGUUAUUUCAACUUUACUCCCUUGUUUUCGUCGGAAUGGAUUUAUCUCGUUGUUAAGAGUGGAGCAAUAACGCAUAGAGUCGGAGCAUUCGGAGCAGUUUCGAAACGAGAACGGGAGUUCUAAUAGUGCUACGCGAGGAAGAUUACACGAUCGAUUUUGUGACGAAAGAACCACUGUAAAAGAGCAGAGAUAGACAAUGUUGGUUGAUUAGAUCUUUAUGGGUUUACCCUUCUCACUAAUCCAGAGAACACCAUAUGAGGCAGAUUUUGUAUAUUAUCAUCAUCGUUGAAUUAGAAACAACGUAUUCCUGAAUAAAAAGCACAAUUCUCUCUAAAAUACGAGAGAACGGUGCACAAUCAUAUGCGCAAGACUGUAUAAGACGAGCAAGAACACUUAGCGGAAAACAUAAAGCGUAGCUUUCAUAUAUAUUUUCAGAAAUCUUUGCGAAGUGCUUUGAAAAGUUUAAACAUGCAUCUCGUUUCCUAGCUUUAAAUAUUUAUUACGAACAAUUCUGUACAUUUUCCUUAAUUUAUAUGAAUUGCAUGUACAGUAUUGCACGUAUCAUUGUGUACGAUCGAUUUCUCAUUGAUAACACUCAUUGUAGAUACGGGCUGCUUAAAUUGACGUUUUAAUUGUUUAAUGUCAGAUGAUGAUGGCGGUACUCAAGAACUGAUUAAGAGCACGCAUAUUUCGCAUUGAAAGUGAAUCGAUGUUCUUUGUUUAACAUUUUCCGGAAAGUGUUUCCAAGCUCCACUCUGAUCUUAUCGUUAUCGCUAGUAAGUAGAAACAAUUAUUGAUGCGAAAGGUCUCUUUCUAAUUUAUUACCGAAAGGAAUGAUUAAUUGAACUGUACGUAAUCUGUAAUUAUGACUAGAAUAACACGUGGUUAUUCAAAGGAAUUCGUACAUGAAUCCAGUGAACAUGUGUGUAGGUUGUGAUUUAAUUUUUAACAUUGCUUUAAUUAUCGGAUGAAGCAACAUUUCUGUAAAUACAUGUAUUAACUAUAAUUUUAAUAUGCAUAAAGGGUCUGAUUUGCAGUUUGCUUUUAACAAUAUAAGCGCUGCCGUGCGGCCUCAGGCAGUAAACAUAUUGUUAUGAACGAACUGGAAAUACCUAGUUCCAAUCUUAAA